UGGACAUGCAAUGUGACAGUUUGCUUCUGA
rnacentral:piRNA from 1 species